GCUUAAACACGGGGCGGGGGCUGGCAAAGGACAUUUUCUUGGGUCCCACAUCAUGCCUUGGAUCACUGGCAGGCGUGGAGUUUAUUUUGACCAAGCAGGAUGCCUAGUGCCUGUGGAGCUGUGUAUCAGAUCAUCUGGAAUCAAAUUUAGUGGCUGAGAGAUUAUUCAGAACAGUUAAGGAAGCUCACAAGAAGCAAGCAUUGUAGGAGGCAACAGGGGAAGCUACAGAUAAAAGGACCCCUGGACUGGAUGAACAAAUCACGGAGAUAAGCGCAUGGAAUAUACAGAAUCCCAUCAAUACAGGCUUACACAUGCUUCUGUUGUGGGAACUGGCAUGUAUCAAUGCUGUUGCAAACAAGUUUUUCAUUGUACCUGUACCUCAUCAUACUUGUGCAUAUGACCUUUGACUUUGGCUGAAGGUUACUUUAAGAAUAGCUGAACUGGAUAGGUAGAUACACAUAUACGUUCUAUGUAACAGGCAUGAUGGACAACAUGAAUAUCUACUUAUUGAUUACCAAGGAAGUGCUCCUCAGUUGGAAACCAAUAAAUUGGUGCCUUCUUAUAGCUCAUUUUGUUCAUCAAUAUGGGCAUUUUUCAGCAAUAAUGGCAUCUGCCCAACAAAUGUGUCAGUGAGGAUAGAUAAUGAGUUCUUCAG